rnacentral:rRNA from 1 species
UAGGGAAUCUUCCGCAAUGGACGCAAGUCUGACGGAGCAACGCCGCGUGAGUGAAGAAGGAUUUCGGUUCGUAAAACUCUGUUGUUAGAGAAGAACAGCGCAUAGAGUAACUGUUAUGCGUGUGACGGUAUCUAACCAGAAAGCCACGGCUAACUACGUGCCAGCAGCCGCGGUAAUACGUAGGUGGCAAGCGUUGUCCGGAUUUAUUGGGCGUAAAGCGAGCGCAGGCGGUCAAUUAAGUCUGAUGUGAAAGCCCCCGGCUCAACCGGGGAGGGUCAUUGGAAACUGGUGGACUUGAGUGCAGAAGAGGAGGGUGGAAUUCCAGGUGUAACGGUGAAAUGCGUAGAUAUAUGGAGGAACACCAGUGGCGAAGGCGACUCUCUGGUCUGUAACUGACGCUGAGGCUCGAAAGCGGGGGUAGCAAACAGG